GGCUCCAUAGUGUAAUGGUUAGCAUGUCUGCUUUACAUGCAGAAGGUCCUAGACUCGUGCCUCAGGUGCAGCCA
rnacentral:tRNA from 1 species